GAUUUCUGGUAAGGUGCGCCUGGCCCGCCACGGUUACGUGUGUGAGUGCUGGGACGCGCCUACCAUCCUUCUAGUGGCCCUGUGUAGCUCGUAAUGGGGUAAUGCAGGAGCGCUAGAUCUUUUACUUUGAAAAAAUUAGAGUGUUUAAAGCAGGCGUUUUGCUAUGAAUACAUUAGCAUGGAAUAAUAACUUAGGACUUUGGUUCUAUUUUGUUGGUUUCUAGAACUGGAGUAAUGAUUGAUAGGGAUAGUUGGGGGUGCUAGUAUUCAGUGGCCAGAGGUGAAAUUCUCGGAUUCACUGAAGACUAACUUCUGCGAAAGCAUU
rnacentral:rRNA from 1 species